UGCAGGUGAAGAAAAACCCAACUGUCUUAUCUCCUGUCCUAGUCCCAGAGCCUGAAAAGGUGAACAACCCACUGGGCUUGGCUGGGGGAAAAGAGGAAAUUUUGUUCCAGAAGGAACUGUCUGAGAGAU
rfam:Erinaceus europaeus unplaced genomic scaffold scaffold00985, whole genome shotgun sequence